CCUGAUGCCGUGGCUGAAAAGUCAUGACGUCACAGAGCUCGAGAGCUCGGCUCAAGUGGGUCUGCCAACUGGUAGUGCCCCACAACCACAGGCAACUCUGAUCUGGCCCUCCGGCCCCUUCCCAGGAACAUCCCACCCCCCGCCCUCGGUCUGAGAUCGGACCAAGGAAUCGGGGACACUGGGAUCAGCUCAGCAGUCUCAGGGGCUGGACUUCCUGGGCGAGUGCUGCUGAGGCUCUUAACUCCCUUUCCUUUCGAAGAAUCUAGAAGGGACCCGUUAAAUCCCUCUACUCAUAAAUUUCCACCUUCUCGGGAAUCCGUAUCCAUUUCCUCCCCUCCGCCUGUCCACCCCGGGGCCCCGGCCGUCAGGUGGCAUGCAGACGAGUCUCAGGGCCGCCUCAGGAUCUGACUUUUGGGAAGUCGUCUUGUAGACCGGCUUUCGGUCUGUGCACUUUUCCGCCGGGUACCCGAUCUGCGAAAGUCACCACGGACUCCGGAGACAAAAAGACUUCAAAAACGUGGCCACGAAAUCCUCAAGAGGGGAAACCAAGGCAGGGAACGCCCGGGGUCGAUGUCUCCUCGACCGAUCGCCAUCGGAUUACCGGCUCUGGGUCUGCCACCCCUAGCUACGAUGCAUAGAGGCCCUAAGGAACCGAGGUCCCAAGCUUUAACACUUCAUUCUAUUUCGGAGUAAGUUCUAACCAACCUUUUAAUCAUUGGCGAUUGCCAUCUCUUUCCCAUCUGCAUCCUGAGAGCAGUGGAGAAAAACACAUGUCAAGAAUUCCAUUUACCACCGAUCGGCUUUGACACAAGAUACUGACGAUACCCUUGAAAGCGUUCGAAAACUUCUCGACGCUUCAAUCAGUCUUUGGUCAUGCACGUGGAAGACACAGCAAUCUGAAACUUCUGAUCGGAUCGGUGCCGGUUCCACCAACCACCAAGGGAGAAGCAAAUCCGUCGCCCCUGGCCGUCUGGCAGGUGAGACCACCCCACUGUCAAACCAGGAGGCCAGCCUGCCAGAAUCACCAGACCAACAUGAAAAGUUAAGGGUGAGCCGUCAUCAAAGUUUUGCAAAGUAAAUAUUCAGAGAAAGUCA